rnacentral:rRNA from 1 species
UCGAGAAUAUUCCACAAUGGGCGAAAGCCUGAUGGAGCGACACCGCGUGAAUGAUGAAGCAUUUCGGUGUGUAAAGUUCUUUUCUAUAGGAGAAAGCGCGAUAAGCGUGUGAUAGUACUAUAGGAAUAAGUGGCGGCAAACUUCGUGCCAGCAGCAGCGGUAAUACGAAGGCCACAAGCGUUAUCCGGAUUUGUUGGGCGUAAAGCGCGCGUAGGGGGCUUAGCAAGUCUGUGGUAAAAUUUCGGGGCUCAACUCCGAACCUGCCAUGGAAACUGCUUCGCUAGAGAGUGUUAGAGGCAGAUAGAACUCAUGGUGUAGGGGUGAAAUCCGUUGAUAUCAUGGGGAAUACCAAAGGCGAAGGCAUUCUGCUGGGGCAUUUCUGACCCUGAGGCGCGAAAGC